rnacentral:rRNA from 1 species
AGCUCCAAUAGCGUAUAUUAAAGUUGUUGCAGUUAAAAAGCUCGUAGUUGAAUUUCAAGAUCCUUUUUGCAACCGGCCACUGUGUCUUUAUGGCCAGUGUGCUUUCGGUUGCGGGAUCUUUAUUUCUGCUCGGCGCCCAUCGCUUCCAGUUCUGCUGGCGGCGGUGGUCUUGUUGCCGAGCACUUUUACUUUGAAAAAAUUAGAGUGUUCAAAGCAGGCUUUUUAAGCCUGAAUAUCUUAGCAUGGAAUAAUAGAAUAGGACUUUGGUUCUAUUUUGUUGGUUUCUAGGACUAGAGUAAUGAUUAAUAGGGAUAGUUGGGGGCAUUAGUAUUUAAUUGUCAGAGGUGAAAUUCUUGGAUUUAGGAAAGACUAACUUCUGCGAAAGCAUUUGCCAAGGAUGUUU